GUGCCAGCAGCCGCGGUAAUACAGAGGGUGCGAGCGUUGUCCGGAAUCACUGGGCGUAAAGGGCGCGUAGGUGGCGCGACAAGUCCGUGGUGAAAGCUCGAUGCUUAACAUCGAGUCGGCCACGGAUACUGUUGGGCUUGAGCACUGUAGAGGCUAAUGGAAUUCCGGGUGUAGCGGUGGAAUGCGUAGAGAUCCGGAAGAACACCGGUGGCGAAGGCGGUUAGCUGGGCAGUUGCUGACACUGAGGCGCGACAGCGUGGGGAGCAAACAGGAUUAGAAACCCCUGUAGUCC
rnacentral:rRNA from 1 species